GAUACAGCUGGCAACUGUCUUCCUCUUCCAAGAACACUUUCUUUACUUGGUUUCUAGGUCUUCUUGCUAUAUCUUUGUCUAUUUCUCAAUUAUUUCUCGU